rnacentral:tRNA from 1 species
GGCGCUUUGGCGGAGUGGUUAACGCGAUGCCCUGCUAUAUUUUCGAUAUACCGGUAGGCAUUUCCUUCGGGAGCGCAGGUUCGAAUCCUGCAGGCGUCG